GGACUGUGAUGACUAACAUGUGAUUGGUCUCGUUCGUCGUAAUGGCAGAGAUGCCUUGCCGACCAUCCUGAUAUAUCACCACCCAUAAAUUGGGUCC